GGAGUUGUGGCUCAGUGGUAGAGUGCUCGCUAGUAUGUGUGAGGCACUGGAUUCGAUCCUCAGCACCA
rnacentral:tRNA from 1 species